CGGGGGGAGCAAGCGUUGUUCGGAUUUACUGGGCGUAAAGGGCGCGUAGGCGGCGCAACAAGUCACUUGUGAAAUCUCCGGGCUUAACCCGGAGCGGCCAAGUGAUACUGUCGCGCUAGAGUGCGGAAGGGGCUACUGGAAUUCUCGGUGUAGCGGUGAAAUGCGUAGAUAUCGAGAGGAACACCUGCGGCGGAGGCGGGUAGCUGGGCCGACACUGACGCUGAGGCGCGAAAGCCAGGGGAGCGAACGGGAUUAGAUACCCCGGUAGUCCUGGCCUUAAACGAUGGAUACUUGGUGUCCGGGGUUACAUAGUCCCCGGGUGCCGGCGCUAACGCAUUAAGUAUCCCGCCUGGGGAGUACGGUCGCAAGACUG
rnacentral:rRNA from 1 species